UGUGUGUAUGUUAAGGGUGCUUGUAUGGGUGUAGGGGGACUGUGAGGGGUUAAGGAGGGGCUGUAUGGGUGCUGAAGGGGCUGAGAAGAAUGUGUGUAUGAUAAGGGUGCUUGUAUGGGGUGCGAGAGGCUGAGGAGGAUGUGAACAGGCUAAGGGUAUUUUGUGUGGGUGAGAAAUGAAGACCAGUGAGGAAGGUUAUGAAGGAAAGAAAGGUGAAGCAGGUGUCUUUAAGAGGAGACACAAGACUACCAACUCAAGAAGCUUAUAAUGGGAGGUGAAGGGAAAGGUGAAGCAGGUGUUUUUAAGAAGAGACACAAGACUACCAACUCAAGAAGCUUAUAAUGGGAGGUGCAGGGAAAGGUGAACCAAGUGUCCGACGGGAACCGAGGCUUUGAGGCGUCCAGAGGAUAAAAUGGUGUAAGGGAAGAGCCAUUAAUUCUAGUUUGCACUGGGAAAGGCAGACUACACAUCCCAGGAAGAAGAAACAAGAUGCAGGGGAAAAGCGACUUUGUAUUUGGUGUAUCGAGGGUUGCUUUUCCCCUGUAACUUGUACCUUGUUCUUCCUGGGAUGUGCGCUGCGGUGCAGUGAAAAAAAGCAGAAAAUAAUGGCUCUGUCCCAUAGCCUCCCCCUUUUUCCUGCCUUGCCCAGUGAAAACAAACCAGAAAAUAAUGGCUCUGUCCCCUACCUCCCACCCCCUCUUCCUGCCUUGCCCAGUGAAAACAAACCAGAAAAUGAUGGCUCUGUCCCUCAUCUCCCUUCUCCUGACUCCCCAUUUGUGGCAGCAGGCAGAAGGAAAGACUCAGUAGCUGUCUUUGCAUGCCAGCUUGUACUCGUUACCUCGGUGCGUCCAUCCUGAAUGCGGUGGGCUGGUGCGGGCUGCAGCUGCAUCACUUCGGGGAGACGGUGUCCGUCCCCUUCUGGCAGGACUGGUGGGAACCGGUCAGCUUCUGCGACAAGAUCAACAAGAACCUGAGGAAGAAGCUGCCAUGCUCUGCCUCCUUGGUACGGCCACUUGCUCACACUUCAGUUCAGUUUUGUUCAGUUUUCUUCAGCUCAGUUCACUUGAGGCUCCUUGGUGUUGUGCCUUGCUCACUCUGUCCAUUGUUUGAAUGUUUUCCCUUUACUGCUUCCUCUGGGCUAAAAUCAUCGCAGAGUCUUCAGCACGACACAAGGAAUCAAUCUUCUCCGUCGGGGACAAAACUGCGGGAGUCAGCUGAUCCAAGCGAGACUCCAGCCCUGAGAGGCGGUCGUUGGCUGCAUCAUGGUCCUUCUCCAGCACCACAUUUUUUUUUUUUUUUUUUUACAACAAAGGAGGCAGCUCAAGGGCACACAAAAAAAGAAAACAAUAAUAAAAAAAAGCCCGCUACUCGCUGCUCCUAAAAAAGAAACAAAAGAGGUGGCCGAAAGGAAGAUCAAAUACGGGAGGAGAGGUGUCCUGAUACCCUCCUCUUGAAAGAGUUCAAGUCGUAGGCAGGAGAAAAUACAGAUGAAGGAAGAUUGUUCCAGAGUUUACCAGCGUGAGGGAUGAAAGAAUGAAGAUGCUGGUUAACUCUUGCAUAAGGGGUUUGGACAGUAUAGGGAUGGGCAUGAGUAGAAAGUCGAGUGCAGCGGGGCCGCGGGAGGAGAGGAGGCAUGCAGUUAGCAAGUUCAGAAGAGCAGUCAGCGUGGAAAUAUCGAUAGAAGAUAGAAAGAGAGGCAACAUUGCGGCGGAAUUUAAGAGGUAGAAGACUAUCAGUAUGAGGAGGAGAGCUGAUGAGACGAGGAGCCUUAGCCUCCACUCUGUCCAGAAGAGCUGUGUGGUGGAGCCC